CCGUUGCGACCCCAGG
rnacentral:rRNA from 1 species